GCACAAGCGGUGGAGCAUGUGGCUUAAUUCGACGCAACGCGAAGAGCCUUACCAAGGCUUGACAUACACCGGAAAGCAUUAGAGAUAGUGCCCCCCUUGUGGUCGGUGUACAGGUGGUGCAUGGCUGUCGUCAGCUCGUGUCGUGAGAUGUUGGGUUAAGUCCCGCAACGAGCGCAACCCUUGUCCCGUGUUGCCAGCAGGCCCUUGUGGUGCUGGGGACUCACGGGAGACCGCCGGGGUCAACUCGGAGGAAGGUGGGGACGACGUCAAGUCAUCAUGCCCCUUAUGUCUUGGGCUGCACACGUGCUACAAUGGCCGGUACAAUGAGCUGCGAUACCGUGAGGUGGAGCGAAUCUCAAAAAGCCGGUCUCAGUUCGGAUUGGGGUCUGCAACUCGACCCCAUGAAGUCGGAGUCGCUAGUAAUCGCAGAUCAGCAUUGCUGCGGUGAAUACGUUCCCGGGC
rnacentral:rRNA from 1 species